CUGAGGGGUCGGCGGCCGGGUGCUGUGGGCAUGGCCUCCGGGGCUUCUGGUGCUGCGCCCGGGUGCUCGGGGUGGGCGGUGUGUGGAGCUGCUGGCCCUGAGCUGACGGCUGUUCGAGUCCCGUCGCUGCUGCCCGCCUUUCCGAGGUCAGGCCAACCUGACCUGCAGAUGCUUCUUGGGCUGCCAGGAGCCAUGAGGAGGAGGAGGGAGCACUGAAUGGGACAAGACACGUGGAGCUCAGAGGCCCUGGGCCAAAUUUCCCAAGCUGGUGAUGAUUCUGCAGGUCAGCUUGCCCUGGGUGCUUUUGUUUAUUGGGUGGUCACCCUCUCAUGUAAGCAUUGAAGCCCUGACUUUGGACACCCACUCACAGAUCUGGCUCAAUGACCUAACAGCCUGUGCCAGUCACCGUGGUAGGUGCUUUAUAAGGGUCUGUUUGCUGCGAAACUCAGGACAGACGCACACAUACACACUAGCCUACAGCCUGGGGGCUCCGCCAUGUGCCCCACAGAUGUGCCUGGCCUGGGAUUGUCUGACCCUCCUUAGGACUGCACAACAAAGGUGAGAAAGAGUGCUGCCUUUCUGUUUUGUGACAUUUUUGUGAUGGCAUGGAUAUAUUUAUGAAAUCUAGCCCUGAGGUUCCCCCUUUUCUGGAAAGAUAACACAUGAAGAAUU